rnacentral:rRNA from 1 species
AGGGGCUGCGGAAGGAUCAUUAACGAGUUCUGAAAGGGGUUGUAGCUGGCCUUCCGGGGCAUGUGCACACCCUGCUCAUCCACUCUACACCUGUGCACUUACUGUAGGUUUGGCGUGGGCUUCGGGGCCUCCGGGCUCUGAGGCAUUCUGCCGGCCUAUGUAUCACUACAAACACAUAAAGUAACAGAAUGUAUUCGCGUCUAACGCAUCUAAAUACAACUUUCAGCAACGGAUCUCUUGGCUCUCGCAUCGAUGAAGAACGCAGCGAAAUGCGAUAAGUAAUGUGAAUUGCAGAAUUCAGUGAAUCAUCGAAUCUUUGAACGCACCUUGCGCUCCUUGGUAUUCCGAGGAGCAUGCCUGUUUGAGUGUCAUGGAAUUCUCAACCCACACGUCCUUGUGAUGUUGCGGGCUUGGAUUUGGAGGCUUGCUGGCCCUCUGCUGUCGGCUCCUCUUGAAUGCAUUAGCUUGAUUCCGUGCGGAUCGGCUCUCAGUGUGAUAAUUGUCUACGCUGUGACCGUGAAGCGUUUGGCGAGCUUCUAACCGUCCUGUAUGGGACAACUUCUUGACAUCUGACCUCAAAUCAGGUAGGACUACCCGCUGAACUUAAGCAUAUCAAAACCCGG